UACGUAGGGUGCAAGCGUUAAUCGGAAUUACUGGGCGUAAAGCGUGCGCAGGCGGUUGUGCAAGACAGAUGUGAAAUCCCCGGGCUCAACCUGGGAAUUGCAUUUGUGACUGCACGGCUAGAGUGUGUCAGAGGGGGGUAGAAUUCCACGUGUAGCAAUGAAAUGCGUAGAGAUGUGGAGGAAUACCGAUGGCGAAGGCAGCCCCCUGGGAUAACACUGACGCUCAUGCACGAAAGCGUGGGGAGCAAACAGG
rnacentral:rRNA from 1 species